UCCGUAGGUGAACCUGCGGAAGGAUCAUUACCGAGUGCGGGUCCUUUGGGCCCAACCUCCCAUCCGUGUCUAUUAUACCCUGUUGCUUCGGCGGGCCCGCCGCUUGUCGGCCGCCGGGGGGGCGCCUUUGCCCCCCGGGCCCGUGCCCGCCGGAGACCCCAACACGAACACUGUCUGAAAGCGUGCAGUCUGAGUUGAUUGAAUGCAAUCAGUUAAAACUUUCAACAAUGGAUCUCUUGGUUCCGGCAUCGAUGAAGAACGCAGCGAAAUGCGAUAACUAAUGUGAAUUGCAGAAUUCAGUGAAUCAUCGAGUCUUUGAACGCACAUUGCGCCCCCUGGUAUUCCGGGGGGCAUGCCUGUCCGAGCGUCAUUGCUGCCCUCAAGCCCGGCUUGUGUGUUGGGUCGCCGUCCCCCUCUCCGGGGGGACGGGCCCGAAAGGCAGCGGCGGCACCGCGUCCGAUCCUCGAGCGUAUGGGGCUUUGUCACAUGCUCUGUAGGAUUGGCCGGCGCCUGCCGACGUUUUCCAACCAUGUUUUCCAGG
rnacentral:rRNA from 1 species